AAAUUCAAAUAUUUAAAUCCCGAUGUUGGGUAUGGAGACACCUCCACCGUCUGUCAAAUCCCCGGUUGACCUUGGGUCUGGUACGGCGUUUUCUUUUCCCCAACUGGGCACGUGCGGUGGAUGUGGCAAGUGCUACUAGUUCGCUGUAAUGAUAAAGAGUUAUUACCACCUAAGCCCGGAUGCUUAUCAAGGCUCGAGGAGAUAUCAGGUGCUUUUCAGCAAAGCAAUAACCCGACCUGAGAUGACUUGAACAGGAGGUAAUAGCUCUCGAAUAAGGUCGGCAAGGAUUUACCUGGCGACGGCCCUUACAGAGGAACUUCCACCCGGUUCCAACAACCUCUACUCAAAGUCGGUGGAAUCAGACGGCAAACACGGAAGGGAAGCUCUUUGGAUUCCAGUCCGGUCGACCGACCGAAGGCAAGAAUACAAAGAACUAGUUCUGUGUCCGGUUUUAUAAGCCCGCAGGGAUUUACCCUACCAGGAUUAUAUUCCCGGGAACAGGUCUGGGAAAAUAAU